CGGGCAGGUGGCCUUUUAAGUCCUUUGUGAAAUCCCGGGGCUCAACUCCGGAUGUGCAUAGGAUACUGGAAGGCUAGGGACUGGUAGAGGCGAGCGGAAUUCCUGGUGUAGCGGUGGAAUGCGUAGAUAUCAGGAAGAACACCGGUGGCGAAGGCGGCUCGCUGGGCCAGAUCCGACACUCAUCCGCGAAAGCGUGGGGAGCAAACA
rnacentral:rRNA from 1 species